GACAACGUUCGAAAGGAACGCUAAUACCGCAUACGUCCUACGGGAGAAAGUGGGGGAUCUUCGGACCUCACGCUAUCAGAUGAGCCUAGGUCGGAUUAGCUAGUUGGUGGGGUAACGGCUCACCAAGGCGACGAUCCGUAACUGGUCUGAGAGGAUGAUCAGUCACACUGGAACUGAGACACGGUCCAG
rnacentral:rRNA from 1 species